CAUCACUUAAUGACAGGGAUACAUUCUGAAAAAUGUGUCAUCACGCAAUUUCAUCAUUGUGCGAACCUCAUGGAGUGUACCUACACAAAUCUAGAUGGUGUAGCCUACUACACACCUGGGCUAUGUGGUAUCUCCUAUUGCUCCUAGGCUACAAACCUGUACAGCAUGUUAUUGUACUGAAUAUUGUAGUCAGUUGUAACG
rnacentral:lncRNA from 1 species